UGUGGCUGGAGGGGUGCCAGAGGGGGAAAAUAGAGGAGGGUUAACUAGAGAUGAAGAAGUCAUUACCGACCCGGCUGGCCCCAAGCCUACACCAGCUACCCGUUGCCCCGGGAGCCAGAGGCUGCUGCUGUGGCCAGCAUGGACAGCACUAAACCAAAGCCGCCUCUGUUCUCCACUGCUGGCAGGACCAAGCUGAGACCAGGACCAAAACUGUGGGAUGUGUUGGCCACAUACUUCCAGCCCCACAGCACACAGCAGGCAUGGAGGGCGGGUACAGGGCCCAGCAGGACAGAAAAUCUGCUGGAGCAGAUUCCUGGGAACAGCGUGUCCCUCCUCUUCAGAGGUCUCCUCUUCUUUUCUGAAGCUUUACAGAUAGAUUAUAGAAAAUGACCAGCAUGCAUGAUGAGGAAACUGAGACUCCAAGAGGCCAACUCACUUGCCUCAGAUGCCCUGGCCAGGAGGGGACAGCCUCAGCAGGACAGUCCAUGCUAGAUGACCCCUGGUCUGGCAUGAUUUCCAUUACGCCAGUGCAUUGCAUAGCAGACAAGCUCAAUCGGAAAUGCUCUCCUAGACCCAGGCUUAGGGUCUGAAAGGUGGUUACAGACCAUUACAGACCACUUUUCCACUUUUCAAGUUGAAAAGAGCCAUUGCUUUGAAAAUACUUGUGGAUUAGAUUGAAAUGCCAACGGCAGAGUAUGAAGACCAGGCCACAAAAGGAAAGGUUCAUUCACCUUGCGCCCUCUUGUGGAGAAGAAGGCAAAGAAUACUAUAAUACUACCUCAGAAAACGGGAAUUUAGUUCAUCCUCUUCCUCUAACAUACAGUUGCAAUACAAUGUAAUGAUAUGUCUUCAUCAUAGUAUGAUUUUGCAAAUUUUUUCACAAAUGAACCAGGUAGAUUGUAUUGUAUAAUUAUUUUUCCUUGUCUGGAAACAUCCUUCUGUGUUUUUGCUCCUGAAAAAUCAUAACCUUGCUUUAUUUUUUUGCUUAGUUUUCUAGGUACUUAUCAAAAUUAAUGCUUAAAAUCUCUACUGAAGCUGUAUGGUCCUCUCAAUAUUGUUAAACAAGUCUGAAUUCUCCAAUAAUUCUCCUUCUGAAAAAUUACUGGAGUUAUUCUCAGUGCUACUGCUCAAAUUGAGACUACUUUUUCAUUUGUUGCACAGCUAACAUCCUGGAAUUCCACAUUUGCAUGUCUUUUGAUAAAUAAAAAUCCCAAUUUUUAAUAAGCUGAAUUUAUCAUUUUUUCUUUCCCUUUGAGAUUAGAGUUUUAGUGUCAUAUUUCUAAAAUCUCUCCCUAUCCCAAUAUCUUGAAAAUGUUUUUAUAUUAUAUUCCAUCAUCUUUAAUAUUUUGCUUUUUACAAUUAGGUUUAUAAUUAACUUGAAAAUGAUUUUGUGUAUGGUAUGAAGUAGGGGUCAAUUUUAUUUUCCAUUUUCCAUUUAGAUAAUUGAUUCAGCAUCAUUUAUUGAAAAAAAAACUUUCUCCCACUCUUCUGCAAAGAUCUUUGUGUCACAUGUCAAGCCACCCAUGUAUGUAUGAAUCUUUUCCUGGUACCUUUAAUUUCUUCCAUUGGUAUGUUUAUUUGUCUUACAUUAACACCAUACUUUUUUAGUUAUUACAACCUUUUAAUGAAUCAAUGAAUCUUCUUUUUUUUUUUUUUUUUUUUUUUUGAGAUAACAGGGUCUCACUCUUUUGCCCAAGCUGGAGUGCAAUGGCACAAAUAUGGCUCAACCUCCUGGGCUUAAGCAGUCCUCCGGCCUCAACCUCCCACGUAGCUGGGACCACAGGUGCAUGCCACCAUGUCUGGCUAAUUUUUAAAAACUUUUUUUAGAGACAGGGUCUCUCUUUGUUGCCCACGCCUGUUUAAAACUCCUGGGCUCAAGCAAUCCUCCUGCCUCAGCCUUCCAAAGUACUAGGAUUGCAAGCGUGAGUCACCACGCCUGGCCCGUUUAAUGAAUCUUGAUAACCAGUAGAGCAAGUCUUAUCACCUACAUUCUCCUUUCAAGAGUGUCUUUGCUCUUCUUAACUCUGUAUUUCCAUAUAAAUGUUAGUAUUCAUUUUUCAAUUUCCAUAAAAAGUGUUUCAAUUUUUAUUGGGAUUACAUUAAGUCUACAAGUUAAUUUGGGAAAAAUUGCCAUUUUUACAAUAUUAGGUUACGAUAGGUUACAAUUAAGGUAUAAUCAGUCCAUGAAUAUGGAAUUCACUCCAGUUAUUUAGGUCUUCUUUAAUGUGUUUCAGUAAAUUUUUUUUACUGGUUUCUCAAUAAUUUUAUCCAUAAAUAUUGUUUUAUAGGCUCUGUUCAUUUUUUUAAUUGUGUUAAAAUAUACAUGACAUAAAAUUUACAAUCUUAACUAUUUUUAAAUGCACAGUUUAGUAGUGUCAACUACAUUCACAUUGUGCAAACAAUCUCCAGUACUCCUGUAAUUCUGCAAAAGUGAAACCUUAUACCCAUUAAACAACUGCCCAUUGCCACCUCCCCCUCCGCCCAGUCCCUGGCAAUCACCAUUCUACUUUCUGUCUCUAUGAAUUUGACUACUCUAGGUACCUCAUAUAAGAAGAAUAAUUCAGUGUUUGUAUUUUUUGUGAUUGGCUUUUUUUCCCUUGGCAUCAUGUCCUCAGGAUCACCCAUGGUGUACCAUGUGUCAGAAUUUUCUUCCUUUUGAAGGUUGAAUAAUAGUCCAUUAUACUAAAUACCAUAGGUUGUUUAUCUACUCAUCCAUUGAUAGACAUGUGUGUUGCUUCCUCCUUUUGGCUAUUGUGAAUAAUGCUGGCUAUUGUGAAUAAUGCUGCUACUAACAUGGGUGUCCAGAUAUUUCUUCAAGAUCCUGCUUUCAAUUCUUUUGGGUAUAUACCCAGAAGUGGAAUUGCUGGAUCAUAUGGUAAUUUUAUUUUUAGUUUUUUGAGGAACCACUGUUUUCCAUAGCAGUUGCACCAUUUUACUUUUCUAUCAAUAAUGCACAAGAGUUCCAGUUUCUCCACAUUUUUGCCAACGCUUGUUAUUUUCCAGUUGUUUGCUUUGGUUUUUUGCUAGUAGCCAUCCUAAUGCAUGUGAGGUGGUAUCUUGUGGUUUUGAUUUUCAUUUCCCUAAUUAAUGGUGUUUAGCAUUUUUUCAGGUGUUUGUUAGACCAUUUGUAUAUCUUCCUUGGAGAAAUAUCUACUCAAGACCUUUGCCCAUAUUUUAAUUGGUUGUUUGUUGUUGUUGCAUUGCAGUUCUUUAUGUAUUCUGGAUAUUAAACCCUGUCUGAAAUGAUUUGCAAAUAUUUUCUCAAGUUCUAUAGGUUGCCUUCUCACUCUGUUGAUUGUAUCCUUUGAUGCACAGGAGUUUUAAAGUUUGAUGUAGUCCAGUUUAUCUAUUUUGGCUUUGUUGCCUGUGCUUUUGGUUUCAUAUUGAAUAAAUCAUUGCCAAAUCCAA